UUAUCCACGGCCAUAGGACUCUGA
rnacentral:rRNA from 1 species